AACGCGAAGAACCUUACCUGGGCUUGAACUGUAUCUGACCGGAGAUGAAAGUUUCCUUUCGCAAGACAGAUACAGAGGUGCUGCAUGGCUGUCGUCAGCUCGUGCCGUGAGGUGUUUGGUUAAGUCCAGCAACGAGCGCAACCCUUAUCGUUAGUUGCCAGCGAGUCAUGUCGGGAACUCUAACGAGACUGCCUGGGUCAACCAGGAGGAAGGUGAGGAUGACGUCAAGUCCGCAUGGCCUUUAUGUCCAGGGCUACACACGUGCUACAAUGGUCGGUACAAAGGGUUGCCAAACCGCGAGGUGGAGCUAAUCCCAUAAAACCGAUCUCAGUUCGGAUUGCAGUCUGCAACUCGGCUGCAUGAAGUUGGAAUUGCUAGUAAUGGCGUGUCAGCAAUAACGCCGUGAAUACGUUCCCGGGCCUUGUACACACCGGACACGC
rnacentral:rRNA from 1 species